rnacentral:misc_RNA from 1 species
AACGCACAUUGCGCCCGCCAGUAUUCUGGCGGGCAUGCCUGUUCGAGCGUCAUUUCAACCCUCAGGACCCCCCUUUCGGGGGGGAGCUCCUGGCGUUGGGGAUCGGCACCCGCACCGCGGAGGCCGGCCCCGAAAUCCAGUGGCGGUCGCGCCCGCGGCUCCCUCUGCGUAGUAGCAAAACACCUCGCACUGGGACGCGGCGCGGCCACGCCGUAAACGAGACGAAUUUUCUCAAGGUUGACCUCGGAUCAGGUAGGAAUACCCGCUGAACUUAA